rnacentral:rRNA from 1 species
UACGUAGGGGGCGAGCGUUGUCCGGAUUCAUUGGGCGUAAAGCGCGCGUAGGCGGCUCGACAAGUCGGCCGUGAAAUCUCCAGGCUCAACUUGGAGGGGUCGGGCGAGACUGUCGGGCUCGAGGUGGGCAGAGGGCAGUGGAAUUCCGGGUGUAGUGGUGGAAUGCGUAGAGAUCCGGAGGAACACCAGUGGCGAAGGCGGCUGCCUGGGCCUGGCCUGACGCUGAGGCGCGAAAGCGUGGGGAGCGAUCCGG